rnacentral:rRNA from 1 species
UACGUAGGGGGCAAGCGUUGUCCGGAAGCAUUGGGCGUAAAGAGCGUGUAGGCGGCUCGGUAAGUCCGCUGUGAAAGUCCAGGGCUCAACCCUGGAAUGCCGGUGGAAACUGUCGAGCUAGAGUCCGGAAGAGGCGAGUGGAAUUCCUGGUGUAGCGGUGAAAUGCGCAGAUAUCAGGAGGAACACCGAUGGCGAAGGCAGCUCGCUGGGACGGUACUGACGCUGAGACGCGAAAGCGUGGGGAGCGAACAGG